rnacentral:rRNA from 2 species
UGCAAGUCGAACGAACUCUGGUAUUGAUUGGUGCUUGCAUCAUGAUUUACAUUUGAGUGAGUGGCGAACUGGUGAGUAACACGUGGGAAACCUGCCCAGAAGCGGGGGAUAACACCUGGAAACAGAUGCUAAUACCGCAUAACAACUUGGACCGCAUGGUCCGAGUUUGAAAGAUGGCUUCGGCUAUCACUUUUGGAUGGUCCCGCGGCGUAUUAGCUAGAUGGUGGGGUAACGGCUCACCAUGGCAAUGAUACGUAGCCGACCUGAGAGGGUAAUCGGCCACAUUGGGACUGAGACACGGCCCAAACUCCUACGGGAGGCAGCAGUAGGGAAUCUUCCACAAUGGACGAAAGUCUGAUGGAGCAACGCCGCGUGAGUGAAGAAGGGUUUCGGCUCGUAAAACUCUGUUGUUAAAGAAGAACAUAUCUGAGAGUAACUGUUCAGGUAUUGACGGUAUUUAACCAGAAAGCCACGGCUAACUACGUGCCAGCAGCCGCGGUAAUACGUAGGUGGCAAGCGUUGUCCGGAUUUAUUGGGCGUAAAGCGAGCGCAGGCGGUUUUUUAAGUCUGAUGUGAAAGCCUUCGGCUCAACCGAAGAAGUGCAUCGGAAACUGGGAAACUUGAGUGCAGAAGAGGACAGUGGAACUCCAUGUGUAGCGGUGAAAUGCGUAGAUAUAUGGAAGAACACCAGU